GACAUAGUAGAAUAUUUUUAGAAUUGCAAAAACAAGUGAAAAAUGAAGUAAUAACAUUUAUACAUCUUUUUAUUUAGCUAAACCUAUUAGAAUUAAAUUUCAAAAUUUUCAUGUAAAAAUUAACUUUAAUUAUAAUCAUUUCAUUAUGUUACAUAUGAACUAAGUAAAAAUGCCACGUCCACUCUUAAAAGAUACAAUCAAGAGCGGUAAGUUAUAUUAAUUUUUUUGACAGUAUCACGCAUAAUUAACCAUAAUUAAUGAUAGAAAAUUAAUUCUAGAAUAUGUUAUCGAUGAAAAUCAUAAACCAUCGAGUAAAGCAAUUAAAUUUAAAAAAUCCGUAACUACAACAAGUCGUAAAUUUAAUUCAACCGUGAAAAAUCGAGAUCGUUUAGUAGGAGGAGCAGAUGCUCCUGAGGAACAAAAAGACAUAUUGAAACUGCCAGAAGAAACGGAAGAAAAAACUCGUACAGCUGGACCAUGUUGUACUUGUUUGGCGCAAGUACCAGGAUCAACCGGUUGAUGUUCGUCGAUAUACUUGGUCGAAUACAACAAUGGAGCGGUUUGGUUCAAAACAAAUUGGAUAUUUGUAACAAUGAAAUUGAAACAUUGCGUGAAGAAUUAAUAGCACGAGCUUGUGAAAUCGAAAAUCUAAAAAAUUUAUUGGGAGAAUGUGAAAAAGAACGUGCAGCCGCUCUAAUUCAAGCGGCUAAAGCACAAGAAGAAGCAAUUCAAAUUGGUGAACGUUUUGAAAUUCAUAAAAAACAAGAAGAAGAAAGAAGAAAGAUAAUUCCAGAAGUAACAAAAGAAAUAAAAGAACCAACAGAAAUAAAAGAACCAAAAGAAGUAAAAGAACCAAUAGAAAUAAAAGAACCAAAAGAAGUAAAAGAACCAAAAGAAGUAAAAGAACCAAAAGAAAUAAAAGAACCAAAAGAAAUAAAAGAAGGAAACGAGCCUGAAAAAGAAAAGAUAGAAAUUAUUUGUACAGAUGCAGCUAUUCAAUCAAUUUUGAAAGACAAAGAAAAAAGACGAGAAAUUGAAGUAAAUUAAGAUUUUUUUUAUUUUUUUAUUGUAAAUUCAAAUAAAACAUUAAAAUAAUAAUUUGUUUAAAUAGCUUGAAGGUGAAAUAGCAAGACUCCGCAAAGAAAAUGAACGUAUUAUAAAAGAACGUGCUGAAUAUGAGAAUGCGAUACAACGAGCAUUACUUCGAGGUGUUUCAUCUUUGAAUGUCGAAGCAUUGAAAGUUUUACGUUGUCCACCAAUUCCAUGUUGUACUCCUUGUGCACCUUGUCCUGCUUCUGCUAUAGAAUCGGUUGUACCAUGUGCCAAGAAAGGCACUACGUCAACUGGGAUCGCUAAAAAUUGCGGCACUAAACGUAUCGGUAACGGAAGCACCGUUCAUGAAGAAAAUUGCACUGUGAAACGACCUUGCGCCAGUCCUUGUU